UAGGGAAUAUUGGACAAUGGGUGAGAGCCUGAUCCAGCCAUGCCGCGUGCAGGAAGAAGGCGUUAUGCGUUGUAAACUGCUUUUGCCAGGGGAUAAAAAGACCGUGCGCGGUUAAUUGAAGGUACCUGGUGAAUAAGCCACGGCUAACUACGUGCCAGCAGCCGCGGUAAUACGUAGGUGGCAAGCGUUGUCCGGAUUUAUUGGGUUUAAAGGGUGCGUAGGUGGCCCUGUAAGUCAGUGGUGAAAUAUCUCAGCUUAACUGAGAGGGUGCCAUUGAUACUGCAGGGCUUGAGUACAGAUGAGGUAGGCGGAAUUGACGGUGUAGCGGUGAAAUGCAUAGAUAUCGUCAAGAACACCGAUAGCGAAGGCAGCUUACCAAGCUGUAACUGACACUGAGGCACGAAAGUGUGGGGAUCAAACAGGAUUAGAUACCCGUGUAGUCCCUGAGCGGGCUGGCAAGGCGCAU
rnacentral:rRNA from 1 species